AGGACGAACGCUGGCGGCGUGCUUAACACAUGCAAGUCGAGCGGAAAGGCCCUUCGGGGUACUCGAGCGGCGAACGGGUGAGUAACACGUGAGCAAUCUGCCUUUAGCUCUGGGAUAGCUCCGGGAAAACCGGGAUUAAUACCGGAUAAGACCACUUUAGACAUCUGUUGUGGUGGAAAGAAUUUCGGCUAGAGAUGAGCUCGCGGCCUAUCAGCUUGUUGGUGGGGUAACGCCCACCAAGGCGACGACGGGUAGCCGGCCUGAGAGGGCGACCGGCCACACUGGGACUGAGACACGGCCCAGACUCCUACGGGAGGCAGCAGUGGGGAAUAUUGCGCAAUGGGCGAAAGCCUGACGCAGCGACGCCGCGUGGGGGAUGAAGGCCUUCGGGUUGUAACCCUUUCAGCAGGGACGAAGCGAAAGUGACGGUACCUGCAGAAGAAGCGCCGGCUAACUACGUGCCAGCAGCCGC
rnacentral:rRNA from 1 species